rnacentral:rRNA from 1 species
GAUGAACGCUGGCGGCGUGCCUAAUACAUGCAAGUCGAGCGAACAGACGAGGAGCUUGUUCCUCUGACGUUAGCGGCGGACGGGUGAGUAACGCGUGGAUAAUCUACCUAUAAGACGGGGAUAACAUCGGGAAACGGGUGCUAAUACCGCAUAAUAUAUUGAACCGCAGGGUUCAAUAGUGAAAGACGCAUUUGCAGUAAGUAAUAGAGGGAUCCGGGCCGCAUUGGUUGGUGGGGAAGGUAACGGCUUACCAAGGGAACGAAGCGUAGCCGACCGGGGAGGCUGUUCGGCCACACUGGACCUGGGCCCCGGUCCAGCCUCCUACGGGAGGCAGCAGUGGGGAACUUUCGGCAUUGGGCGAAAGCUUGACGGAGCACGCCCGCGUGGGUGAGGAAGGUCUUCGGUUCGUAAACCCCUUUUGUUGGGGAAGAAGAACUGUGGAGUGAAACGCGCAUGUAGUGACGGUACCUAAUCAGAAAGCAACGGCUAACUACGUG